rnacentral:rRNA from 1 species
AGAGUUUGAUCCUGGCUCAGAUUGAACGCUGGCGGCAUGCCUAACACAUGCAAGUCGAACGGAAACGAUGCUAGCUUGCUAGCAGGCGUCGAGUGGCGGACGGGUGAGUAAUGCAUAGGAAUCUACCUAGUAGCGGGGGACAACCUGGUGAAAACCAGGCCAAUACCGCAUAAUCCCUACGGGGCAAAGCAGGGGACCUUCGGGCCUUGCACUAUUAGAUGAGCCUAUGUCGGAUUAGCUAGUUGGUGAGGUAAUGGCUCACCAAGGCAACGAUCCGUAGCUGGUUUGAGAGGAUGAUCAGCCACACUGGGACUGAGACACGGCCCAGACUCCUACGGGAGGCAGCAGUGGGGAAUAUUGCACAAUGGACGCAAGUCUGAUGCAGCAAUGCCACGUGUGUGAAGAAGGCCUUAGGGUUGUAAAGCACUUUCAGUAGGGAGGAAAAGUUCAAGGUUAAUAACCUUGGGCCCUGACGUUACCUACAGAAGAAGCACCGCUAACU